GCAGAGGGGCGUUUGAAUGGUGGCGGAGGAGCUAGCUUGUGAUGCGUUGGAUUCGACCGAAUUUUAUGGUGGAGGACACUGGCAAUGGAUGGUCCGUCUUAGGAUCUCUGGAACAUCGGAGGAUCUGGCUCUCUUACUGCCGAAGCAGAUCAACAGAUCUGAGCUGACAGCAAGCCUUCACUGGAUCCUUUUGUGGAUUACAGGAAUUAGUGUCUUGUGGAACUGGAACUAUCAUUUGGAUUUGGCGGUCAGUGUGGGGAUCCAGGGGCUGACUGAACAUCCCAAGAAAUGAACAAAUCUCUACAUUAUGUGGAGGAAGAUAAAACAGUGGGGGUUAACUGGAACAGAGGUUCUCAAGGUCUCAACCGCACAACGUGUUCAGGAGAGUCCCAGUCUAAACUGGGAUAGAGAGAGAGAGAAAAAUGGGGUUGGGGGAGCAAUGGACUUCUUGAUAUUUGCUUUCCCACUGGAAAUUGCAACAAGACAUUAAGCAACAGGAUUUGCUCCACUCAGUUGACUUAGAACAGCUGCUCACCAAUUUUUUCAGCCCCGGGAGGAAAAGCAGAACUUUGCCCUGGGUCUGAGCAGCUUUUCAGAAGCAAUCCAAGUCAACCUUCCACUCAAUGACUUCAUUCAAAGCUGGUUUACAUCAUGAAGAGAAACUCCGUUUAUUUAUUUGUAAUAACUUCGGGGUUUAUGGACCUGCAAGGGGAUGUAAUUUAAGAAAACAGCGGCAAGCUUUUUCAAAUACCAAGGUUUCAAAACAGGCCCUGUGAAAAACUCAUCAAUGGAAAGAGUUCAUUAUUAAAAAUCAAAAACUACAGCAAAACAUCUUUGUAGAGGACUUUGGAGAGAGAGCUUCUGAAACUUUCUGUCUGCAAUACAUAACCUUUAAAUGGCUAAAGGAAAAGACGAGCUUCCUUCAAGGUCACUGAACUAGCUUCUGAACAGAAUUGGUGAUAGUGUAGUUUACUAUCUCAAUGGCACAAUAAGCACCUUUUUAAAAUACCUCACCUAGCAAUUUUAAAUAUAUAGAAAGAGAAUUUAACAGCUUUGAUUUUAAAAAAUACUCUGAGUCCCACUUCAAGCUCAGGAAUGAGAGUCAGAGACUAUCUUCCAAGCUCUGCCACGGAACCAUUCCCACCAUAGACCAUUCUCCAUGUGGAUAGCAAUACAUUCCCAUCUCCCAGGCGUGUUUGUGGGUUUAGAAUACUUUAGAAAAAUUUAGAGUCUCAGCUGCUGGAAGGCAGUUUGAACUGGUGACUAAAACAGGGAACCGGCGGACAAAACCCCCGUGUUUCAUUCGCAACCUACUCCAUCAUCUCGGGCAAGUCAUUUCACCUCUUGGUGCCUCACUAUCUAUAAACGGGAGAAGGUUUACGCCUCAUUGCAAUGCAUGUUGGGGCUCUUGGACAGAGGAUGUUGUAUAAAUGCACGAGCCAAUAUAACCAGAAAAUAAAACAGACACAACCCUUGUUAGUGACUCAGGCACUACCACACAGUGCAUGGUUUCCAUUUGUCUGAAGAACAGACUGGCCAUCCACCCAACAGCAUGGAACAGUGUGUGUUCUCUUACCAACCCACACAGUGCAGCCAAAGCACAGGCUGCCAAGCUACCAAGACAGCUCAUCCCAGCACACUGCUCAUCCACCCAUGUAACACAACAUGCUGCUUCCCAACUGGACCACCAUGAAACCCAGCUGUAGAGUGCAGUGACCUCGGGUCUACUAGUUUUUAAUGGCUACAGCAAAGAAAUGUUAACCCUUUCCUUCCUUUUUGUUAAAUUCAGAGGUGGAGAGAAAUCAAUAUUGGUAGGAGCUUGUUGGAAGGGGAGAGUGGCAGCAUUGAAAGAAGGGAGAGGGAGCCAGAGAAGUUCAGCGUGAAGUAUGAGAGGUUGGCAUGGGAGGAAGAGCAGUGAGGGGAACUGUACAGGUGGGGAGGCCAUAAGGAUAAUUUAAUAAUUACCACUCUAAGAGCCUACAGAAGGAGAUCCAGCUACUACCAGGUGUGCACAGCAGAGGAGUGGCCUGCUGGAUUGGUGCACCUGGGACUGGUGCCAACUCUGUGAAAAGAGUGACAGUGGGCACACUGCAACCCUUUGAUCUGAGUGACAUCUCAGUACUAACCAGGUAAGAAUACAGAGACUCUGCCCAUGAUGUCAGAAGUUAUGGGUACCUAUUGGGCUGAGCCAGCCAUGCUAAUCUAUGUGGACAGCACAUAUCAGACAUCUCCUAUAAGGAGAUCACUGUUGCUCCUUAGGAUUUGACACCAUAACAGGCUCUUGUAGCUUCCACACUGAACACCAGUGGGGUGGCUAUUACAUCCAUAAUUCUAUUGUUCGCUGUAUGGAGGCGUUGGAGAUUCCCAAUGCCAUAUGUGAGGACAAUCUAACUUUGGAAUCUCUGUAUGGGCAGUACAUUAGUAUUCUUUUGCUUUCUAUGUGUUGCAUGUAGUCUUGAGGAUGCCAGCACACGGCUAAAUCAACUCUUUAUAAAUCCUCAGAAAUCUUCCAUUGCAAAUGUGGAGUGGAGGAUGGUGCACUUAGUGCUUGUGAAAAGGCACUGUGACAGUGCCAGAGCCUGAAGACCUCUACUUAUAUAGCAAAUACAGCAACAAUACAAACUUCCACAUGGCACCUCAACAACAAGUCUCAGCCCUCUGGAGGGGUCACAUAGGGGCAGAAGGAGAAGUCAGUCUCCAUAUCCAUUCAGUUUUUGGCUUCUCUCAUGAGAAUGCUAUCAGUGCUACUACCACUGUUCUCAACCCAUCUCCAUGCCCCUCCCUUAGUGUUACUGCUGCCCUCCCACCUGAAUACCCUCCCCCUUCCAAAUAGAGUUGUCUUCUCCAAGCUCUCAAGACUGUUUAUUUUCUCUUCCCAGUUGCAGUAGUCCUGAAACAUCCCAGAAUCCGUCUGUGCAUGACAGGAGCAAAGCCGCCUUCUGGGGGUCGUUAGGGUUGUUGAGGUGGGCAGGCAGCAGAUGGAAAGUGAACGAGUUCAGGAAGUCUGAGAAACAUGAGUAAGGAAGCAGGGAGGCAGACAAUGGAAAAUAAAUCUAGAUAAAUAAAAGGCUUUUUUUUCUUUUGCUCCAUCAUGCUUCGCAUUAGGAUGGGAACCCCAGUUCUGGAAGGGAAAGAAUUGCCCUCUUGCAAAUGACCCCUUUGAAUCAGAAGCUUUACCAAGGUAACUACCCCAGUAGCAGUGCAAUAAGGCAGGAUAUUAAAAAUCAUAUCAUUUAAAAAACCUCUCCCCUCCCCCUGUCCCAAGCCUAUGGCAACAUUCACAGCUGACAAAAUGUGCCUUCCAAAUAAAACCGGGUAUACGUUAUGUACCUUCCGCUAUGCCUGGGAGGGACGCUUGGGAGCUUUCCUUCCCAAGCCCAUCCCCUGCUGCUUUGGGGCAGAGUGUUCAGCUUUCCCACCAGGAUGAGUAAGGAAAAUGCCUUGUUUGGGCUCACAGACUGAAUUGUUUUCCCAACAAAGCCUCAGCUUGGUUCAGGCAGCCCCGAUAUUCCCAAGUUUUCCAGGGCUUUUUUUCCUGCUCGAAGAACACAUCACCUAGUGUCUGCCAGGCUUCUGCUUCUUGUUUGACAUCCCUUAUUUACAAAGCAAACAGAAUGUUCCUUUUAACACACAUCAUGCUAAGUUUAUUAAUGAAGAAAACAAUCCCAGGGGGUCAACCCAGGGGACCCUUGAAACCUGCCAGCAAAAACUCUUCAAACGCUCAACGCGUCAGAUCCUCCAAAACGAUAUUUCACACAAUGAAGUAAAAAUAAUAUUUUCCUUUCGGCCUUUCCAGCCGCUUUUGGGGCAAGCAGACAGAAAUUAUUUUCUUACUCUGCUCCCAGAGCAGAGAUCUGUAUGAAGCUGCGUUUAUUUGUUUAACACGAUGAUUUCAUCCUAAAUGUCUCGACAGCAAAUAGUUGGUGGUUUAAUAAAGGCCCUUUGAAAGAAGGGCCUGAGCAGUUAUUUGUACAGGGAAAAUGCAAAGUAUGCAGCUCUCAGGAGGAGAGCUAGAAAUGGCUGUUGUGAUUAAGGGGGUGCAGGGAGGACCCUGAACUCCUCUCUGUCUGCGAGGGGAGAACAGUAACUCCUGGGGCUCUGUUUCCUCAUACUGAGCUGCCACAUCUGACUAUAGGGAUGGAAGGAGUCUGACCUUAUUAUUAACAAAUGACUGAUACUCCCUCUCCACCCCAAAGCAAAUACUUUUACAAAAGACAAAGGACCCAUUCUUUGUACAUUGCUGUUAGAUUAUGAAAAUAAUAAAAUGAUGAUAAACACACUUGUAUUGGCUUGUGGCACCAGUACAGUAAUCUGAAGGGAGAAAUAUAUGUGGAGGCUGCUAGAAUAAAUCCUCAGACUUUACAGGGCUAACUCAUCAUGGGCCAGGUUUUCCAAAGGUGAGUAUAGGAUUUGCACCUACCAAAUGCCCAUGUGCACCUGUUGUGCCUGCAUAAACUCUCGUCUGUGUCUGCAAAAGUAUCAUUAACAGAGUGGAUGCACACAAACACAACUGGGACUGCAAAUUACCCUAUUUGCACACACAAAUGCCUGUUUGCAGGAACAAUGGGGCCACACACAAUUUUUGUGGAUGUAAUUAAUACAUGCUGUGUGGCAAAAUUUGGCUCUAAAGGCACAGAGAAAUAAAAUCUUGGAUAUAUUUCAUUUGGACUAUUUUUCAUCUGGCUAUGCAGUAUUCUUUGUUUGGUUCUGCAUAGGAGAGUAAACAGUCAUCUGAUUCUUGACCUUGCAUCUGCCUUUAAGUAGAUGUGUGUCUGAACCACAGAGAUUGGAUCAAGAUCAAAAUCCAGGUCCAAACAUUCCCAAAGUUCAAUGUUUUUUGGAUCUAAGAUUUGAUAUUGGCCCACUUCUAAUUUAAAUGUCCUUUUUUAACAAGAAAAAUGCAACCAGUAGUGUUUGAUGCUUGACAGUAGUUCUAAGAUCUAUCAGAACUUUAUUAUGCAUAAAUUAUGGAGUUUGGAUUAAUGGUUCAUCUUAGUUUAAUGUUAGGAUUUUUUUAAUAUGUUGUGCAAUGUAAUAACAAUUACCCAUAGCUAUAAGUAAUGAACCAGGCCAAAUUCAGUUCUUUUAACCAGGUAGAAGUUUGGAGUAACUCUACUGAAGUUAAAGAUACCUCAGAGGAGUUAGUCCAAGUUUUGUUUGGCAUAAAACUGAGAACACAAUUUGUCUCAUAAGCUUUGCAAAUAUUUUUGUCAUAUAUAAGGGGAAAGCAUUUCUUGACAAAUUCAUUGUGAGGGUUUUAAUUGCCUUUUCGCCUUCUGUUAAUGAUAUUACUUACACUAUCACUGACAUUUGAAACAAAGUUAACGGAAGGGCUUCAGUGGAUUCGAGCUUUUGUCCAAGGAACACUGUAGUACUUUGAUGUGAAAAAUAGUUGGGGGGUGUCCUUUAUCUUACCCAAUAUGUUCAGAUUGUGCAAUUUCGAGUGACGCAUAUGGCAGCAGAAGUAUUGCAAAAUUCAGUACCAUCUAUUUAUGCAAUAUUCAGCAAAACAUAUUAUAUAUUAUUUGGCUAUGACCUGUACAAUAAUUGCAAACAGUCAAAUAAUGAAAAGAAGGGAUCCAAACAAUAUGGAUGUCCUAAACUUUAAAAAUGUGGGGAGAAUGCAUAAUAUGCCCACAAAAAAGUGGGACUAUGGGGUAGAAGGGAAGUUAAAUAACAUGGCAUUGCGUCCUGGGUGAAUGUGCAAAGUAACUAUAAAUUCUUUAGAAUGGAGAUUGUGGGCUUGCUUUCAGUUUUACUCAAAGCAGCAUAACUGAGAUCAGAAUCUGGUCCAUUGUAUUUGAAGUGUUUGUAAAGUGACAUCGACAUUUAUUCUAUAGGAGAAAUAUUAACUGGAGCUGGUUGAAUGGUGAUAAUUGAACACUAAAAUUUGUAAACGUGGGGGAGAGGAGUUGGCUUGGUGAGGAAUUCAGAAACCAGUCCUAUUAGCUGAGCAUCUAUUUGGUUCAGAAAUAUUCAGUCAACAGCAUGAGUGAGCAAAUGGCAAUGUGAGCUUUGAGUCAUGUGACUUAGUUUCUGGUCCACGAUUGGAUGACCUAAGCUGGACGCAACUCAUUGGGGGUUUGAUUGUCUCUGGUGGAAUUGAGAGUGUGAGCACUCUUUGAGAGAGUUGCCAGGACAUAUUAACAGAGAAGCAGGAGCCCUAGGGAAUUGACAGAUGAAGGAGAUUUAUAAACAUCUCUUUCCAGCUGGUUUCUCACAGCACUAGUGAAUCCAGUUAUGUGUAUUUGACCAAAUCAUCCAGACCACCUCUGAAGUGCUGUGAAUUCAUUCAUGAAUACCAAUGCAAGAGGGCAAGGGGCUCACUGGUGUCUGGUAGUGAGUUUCAGCUGGCCUGACCAGUUGAAUGUGCCCCAACUUACUAACGUCAUAACUUUUAUCUAAAAGGUGCUAUAUAAGACAUCAAUAGAAAGCUAAUAUCUUAAUGAUAAUUAAUAUUAUUGUAUGGUGUAUAUAUGGAAGACAAAUUGAAAAUUACAAACAUUGGGAAUUAUGUUCUGAAAGUGUGUCUGCCAGGCAGGGGUAACAUAACCCCACCCUAGACAAAGGAAUGUAGUUCUGCCAUCUGGAAGAUAUUUCUAAGGUACAUUGAGACAAUGGGAAUGCAAUUGACAUAGAAGGUAAACAGGAGCAUCAUGCUAGCAAGGGGAGGACACAACCACUCAGCAUCACAGCACAGGGAGGAGAUAGCAGGAAGCAGAUCAAUGUACAUUUUAGCAAACACCAGCAUGGGAAGAAGCCAGCCUGGAACUUCCUCUACUUGGAGACUACAUGUUGCCUUCCUCACAGCUUGAAUGAACUUUACUUUGGAGUGUAAUCUUCAGAAGAAUCAAUUGCAAAGGUCCUCUGGACUAUAAAAGAGAGGGGCAAAGAAUCCCAAGUUGUCUUUUAUCUAAGAUGACAAAGAAAAAGAGCACUUUGGACUUUGUGGGAGAAACUGACCAGAGGGUUUGGUCAGCCAUCUUGCUGGAAGAUACAUUGGAAAGGAAAAUACCUUGAACAAAGGCUGUAGCUUUUUGUGUUAGAAAGAUUUGUUUCACUCCUAUUUA